rnacentral:rRNA from 1 species
GACGAACGCUGGCGGCGUGCCUAACACAUGCAAGUCGAGCGAGUGAAUCUCCUUCGGGAGUGAAGCUAGCGGCGGACGGGUGAGUAACACGUGGGCAACCUGCCUCAUAGAGGGGAAUAGCCUUUCGAAAGGAAGAUUAAUACCGCAUAAGAUUGUAGCUUCGCAUGAAGUAGCAAUUAAAGGAGCAAUCCGCUAUGAGAUGGGCCCGCGGCGCAUUCGCUAGUUGGUGAGGUAACGGCUCACCAAGGCGACGAUGCGUAGCCGACCUGAGAGGGUGAUCGGCCACAUUGGGACUGAGACACGGCCCAGACUCCUACGGGGGGCAGCAGUGGGGAAUAUUGCACAAUGGGGGAAACCCUGAUGCAGCAACGCCGCGUGAGUGAUGACGGCCUUCGGGUUGUAAAGCUCUGUCUUCAGGGACGAUAACGACGGUACCUGAGGAGGAAGCCACGGCUAACUACGUGCCAGCAGCCGCAGUAACAC